CGGUACCUAAUUUUGAGAAUCUGCAAUCUGCUCCGCUACCGACUGCUGUGGAUCCGGUACCGAUUGUUAGAAUUCCGCAACGAAAGCGUCAAAUCAGGUUUUUACCAUAAACCCGUCUCCUCAGUAAAAGCUGAUACAAUCACAAAAGAGAAAAAAACUAAAAUAGAAAAUAUGCUGGUAAAAUAAGCUUCAUUAAAUAAGAGAAGAUUAUACCUGAUUCCGCUGGCUUCGCUUCCUUCCCGUUCAACGUCUCGUCCAACUUUUCCUGUACGAGAAUCGCCCGUACUUUAAUCUAUCAUAAUCUGAAAUUGUUCUUACCGUCAAACUUCUCGAUUUCGAAUUUUAUGGCUAUCUCCGUUGAUCUCUCUUGCAGAUCGGUAACCUUCAGCUCUGAUACCAAUUGUUGAAAAUACGGUACUCGCUCCGAUAUCGGAUUUUGAGAAUCUGCAACCCGCUCCGAUACCGAUUGCUGUGGAUCCGGUACCGAUUGUUGGAAUUCCGCAACAGAAGCGUCAAAUCGGUUUUUACCAUAAACCCGUCUCCUCAGCAAAAGCUGAUACAAUCACAAAAUAGACAAAAAUUAAAACAGAAAAUAUGCGGGUAAAAAAAGAUUCAUUAAAUAAGAGAAGAUUACACCUGACUCCUCUUUUGCAUAGAGUAGCUACAACCCAAGCUCUUUUUCUUGAAUCUCUUCUAUCCUUCUCUCGUCUUCUAUAAACUCACAAAGAAGAUAACUCUUCACAUGCACCCGUGCACUAGUUGCACUCAAACAUAACUUUCUCUCUCAUGGUACGGUUUUACCUAAGAAAGCAUUCUCUCUCACCGUACUCUCUCCUCCAAAAGCAUUCCAAAGAGUGCUUUUAUAAUGUAUCGUCUAAAACGUAGGCGAAUCCUAAUAUAUUUAGGAUUCCUACUCCAAUAAAUAUUUAAAUCUAUAUUUCGUUUAUCUCUAAUAGAUUUAAAUAUUUAUUCUAAUCUAGUUAGAUUCAUACUCUAAUUAAUAUUUAAAUCUUAAUUUAUCUCUAACAGAUUUAAAUAUUAAUCUUAAUCCAAUUAGGAUUCAACUACAAAUCUAACCAAAUCCUAACAUUCUCUAUUUUGGUUGGAUUUGUAGUCUCAACCGCUGCGUCGAGCUCACCAUGCAAGCUCCAUCUUGAGCUUGUCUCCUCCGCUCGAUGUCGCUACAUCCGCCGCUCCGCCUCGAGCGAUUGCACCUACGCGAACUUUUGGAACCCAAAUUGUCUUCGCUCCCGUUCUGACCGCGCUUCCGUUCAGAACGUAUAAGUUCCCGCAGUUGUUUGCCUCGCACAUGACUCGAUCUCGCUUUUGGACCCUCAUAGCUCCACCUGAAGCCGAAAUAUUGCAACCCUUUGAGUCCAACGCGCCUAAUAAGAUCAAAUUUCACUUCAAUCCAAGAACGUGCCGGACACCUGUCAGCGUCCUCACGACCCCAUCGUGCAUUCGGAUCUUCACCGUGCUGACUCCCAAAACUUUGCGUGCCGUCCUGUUCCCCAUCAGAGCCUUUCCACCCUUAAUUGCUUUAUAGGUGGCAAAAGAUGCUUUCUCCGGGCAAACGUGAAAGGAACAUGCCAAAUCGAGCACCUACGCAUCAUCCGAAAUUUUAGCAUCUCCGGUCGUCGCAUACAGCACAUCAGAAUCGAUCGUCUCCGACUCUGUCGCUUGCGCCGUCGCCAAUGCCGUCUCAUCCUGAUUCACGACAGUUUUCUUCUUCUGUCGCUUUAACUCCUUCAGAUCAUCCUGAAGUUUUCGACAAUUGCGUUUGAUAUGCCCUUUCCUGUGACAGUAAAAGCACUCUACCUCAGAUAGCGGCUUCUUCUGUCGAUCUCCGAUCGCUGAUAUUGUCGCCUCUUUCUUCGCUCUCACCACCAAAACAGUAUCCCGGCUCUGCGUGCCGGAUUCCUGAGUCAUCUUCUGCAUCUCGUUCAAGAGAACCACUGUUGUGAUCGCCUCCACGCUUAUGGUCUCCUUGCCAUAAAGCAAUGUGGUCACCAGAUGCUCAUAUAUCGCCGGUAGCGAAGAUAGUAAAAUCAGCGCCUUGUCUUCGUCAUCGAGAUUGACUUCGAUGCUAGUCAACUCAGCCACCACCUUGUUGAACUCAUUAAGAUGCUCAUGUAGGCUCGUCGCUUCUUGCAUCUGCAGCGUAAACAGUCGUGGCUUCAGAUACAACAUGUUCGUCAAGAAUUUGGUCAUGGACAGAUCUUCAAAUUUCUUCAACAACUUUGCCGGUGUCGUCUCGUUGGCUACGUUGUAAAGAAUCUAUCUGCUAAUGAUAGAUGAAGCGUGCUCAAUGCCUUAUGUUCCAUCUUCGUCCAUGCCGCAUCCGUGACCUCCGCUGGCUUCACCUCCUUCCCGUUCAACGUCUCGUCCAACUCUUGCUGUACGAGAAUCGCCCGUACUUUAAUCUGCCAUAAUCCGAAAUUGUUCUUACCGUCGAACUUCUCGAUUUCGAAUUUUGUGGCCAUCUCCGUUGAUCUCUCUCGCAGAUAAGUAACCUUCGGCUCUAAUACCAAUUGUUGGGAAUAAGGUAUUCGCCCCGGUACCGAAUUUUGAGAAUCUGCAACCCGCUCUGAUAUCGAUUGCUGUGGAUUCGGUACCGAUUGUAGAAAUUCCGCAACCGAAACGUCGAAUUGGGUUUUUACCAUAAACCCGUCUCCUUAGCAAAAGCUGAUACAAUCACAAAAGAGAAGAAAACUAAAACAGAAAAUAUACGGGUAAAAUAAAAUUCAUUAAAUAAUAGAAGAUUAUACCUGACUCCUCUUCUGCAUAGAGUAGUUACAAGCUAAAUCAUUUUUCUUAAAUUUUUUCUACCCUUCUCUUGCCUUCUAAAAACUUAAAAGACAACCCUUCAUGUGCACAUAU
rnacentral:lncRNA from 1 species